rnacentral:ncRNA from 1 species
AACACUAGGGGAAUCCUUAAAAAGGACUGAGAGAAGAGUGGAACUCUGAUACCCUUAUGACCUGAUCAGGUUCGUGCCUGCGUAGGGAAGUGCUAUGUUUA